rnacentral:rRNA from 1 species
UACGUAGGGUGCAAGCGUUGUCCGGAAUUAUUGGGCGUAAAGAGCUCGUAGGCGGUCUGUCGCGUCUGCUGUGAAAACUCGGGGCUUAACCCCGGGCCUGCAGUGGGUACGGGGCAGACUAGAGUGCGGUAGGGGGAGACUGGAAUUCCUGGUGUAGCGGUGAAAUGCGCAGAUAUCAGGAGGAACACCGGUGCGAAGGCGGGCUC